rnacentral:rRNA from 1 species
UACGUAGGGGGCUAGCGUUGUCCGGAAUCAUUGGGCGUAAAGCGCGCGUAGGCGGCCCGGUAAGUCCGCUGUAAAAGUCCAGGGCUCAACCCUGGAAAGCCGGUGGAUACUGUCGGGCUCGAGUCCGGAAGAGGCGAGUGGAAUUCCUGGUGUAGCGGUGGAAUGCGCAGAUAUCAGGAGGAACACCUGCGGCGAAGGCGGGUUGCUGGGCCGACACUGACGCUGAGGCGCGAAAGCUAGGGGAGCGAACGGG